CCUCCUACUUGACCUCCGUCUUGGUGGAACUGGUUCCCAUUUGGCAAUGACACCAUCCCAGGAAGAGCUAACCAUCAUAGGGUAGACAGGAUGCCAACUACAGUCUCUUACAGCACCUUCAUGAUAAUCAAGUCUUGCAACUUGAGCCCCACUCACCAGAUCAUAAAUAUAAACAGAACAAUCGCUAGAUCCACUGUAAAUGUACUUUUGAC
rnacentral:misc_RNA from 1 species